AAGUCGUAACAAGGUUUCCGUAGGUGAACCUGCGGAAGGAUCAUUAACACGUCUAUACGUACUAACCAACUGUGAUUUUUAAUAUCAUGUCCCCAAUUAAUUUCUGAAAUUAAUUGGACUUGACAAUGAGGGGGAUAAAUAGGAGGAACAAAUUCGUUUGUUCGUCUAAUUUUCUCCCACUUUGUCUUUCACUAACGUUUUCCAUACUCAUUUUCUUUUAGUUGUUUAUAACGUUGAAUUUCCUAUACUUGUUAUAUGUGAUUUUUCGUUAAUUUUUGAAAAUAUUUUUCAAUAUAAAAUAACAACUCUUAGCAAUGGAUAUCUUGGUUCUCGU
rnacentral:misc_RNA from 1 species